UAAUACGUAGGGUGCUAGCGUUGUUCGGAAUCAUUGGGCGUAAAGCGCGUGUAGGCUGCUAGGUAAGUCGAUUGUGAAAUCCCUGGGCUCAACCGAGGAAGUGCAGUCGAAACUCCCUAGCUAGAAGACGGUAGAGGAAGGUGGAAUUCCAAGUGUAGAGGUGAAAUUCGUAGAUAUUUGGAGGAAUACCGGUGGCGAAGGCGGCCUUCUGGACCGCUCUUGACGCUGAGACGCGAAAGCGUGGGUAGCAAACAGGAUUAGAUACCCUGGUAGUCCACGCCGUAAACGAUGGGUACUAGGUGUUGCAGGAAUUGACCCCUGCAGUGCCGUAGCUAACGCAUUAAGUACCCCGCCUGGGAAGUACGGCCGCAAGGUUA
rnacentral:rRNA from 1 species